UACGAAGGGGGCUAGCGUUGCUCGGAAUCACUGGGCGUAAAGCGCACGUAGGCGGAUCUUUAAGUCAGGGGUGAAAUCCCAAGGCUCAACCUUGGAACUGCCUUUGAUACUGGGGAUCUCGAGUCCGGAAGAGGUGAGUGGAACUGCGAGUGUAGAGGUGAAAUUCGUAGAUAUUCGCAAGAACACCAGUGGCGAAGGCGGCUCACUGGUCCGGUACUGACGCUGAGGCACGAAAGCGUGGGGAGCAAACAGG
rnacentral:rRNA from 1 species